UGGGGAAUCUUGGACAAUGGGGGAAACCCUNNUCCAGCAAUGCCGCGUGUGCGAAGAAGGCCUUCGGGUUGUAAAGCACUUUUGUCUGGGAAGAAAUGGUUUGAGCUAAUACCUCAAAUCGAUGACAGUACCAGAAGAAUAAGCACCGGCUAACUACGUGCCAGCAGCCGCGGUAAUACGUAGGGUGCGAGCGUUAAUCGGAAUUAUUGGGCGUAAAGGGUGCGCAGGCGGUUUUUUAAGUCAGAUGUGAAAUCCCCGAGCUUAACUUGGGAACUGCAUUUGAAACUGAAAGACUAGAGUGUGCGAGAGGGGGGUGGAAUUCCGCGUGUAGCAGUGAAAUGCGUAGAUAUGCGGAGGAACAUCAAUGGCGAAGGCAGCCCCCUGGCGUAACACUGACGCUCAUGCACGAAAGCGUGGGGAGCAAACAGGAUUAGAUACCCUGGUAGUCCACGCCCUAAACGAUGUCUACUGGUUGUUGGGCCUUUUCUGGUUCAGUAACGAAGCUAACGCGUGAAGUAGACCGCCUGGGGAGUACGGUCGCAAGAUUA
rnacentral:rRNA from 1 species